UUAUGGAUAAAAAUUCAAAACGCAAUAUUUCAACACAGCGGGCUAAGUGUUUUUUCCCCAAAUUUUCAUUUUCACAAUCUCAUUGCAAAUUCUCAAAAUUUCUCUAUUCCUAUCGAUUAUACCUUCAAUUGAUUCCUUCUUCAAUGAAUUUCACGCUCGUCCAUCAAUCGCGACCUACAAAACUUUCAAAACCCUCAUAAUCGUCCGGUUCUUCUCUACUCAGUACUCACGAACCAAGAACCUGUUCUUGUUCUUCUCUAUUCCUUUCCUAUUUCCAAAUUUCUCUAACGCGACGCAAGAAUCCCUUCAAGACUCAUAAACGCUUGAAACCCUAAAGUUUUGAAACGCUACGAAGAAAAAAGAACACAAUUAUGGUGCAGUUGCAGAGGCAUAUUUUUUCGAUUCUUCGUUGUAAUCUUAAGAGAGUGGAGCAUACCAAUAGUUCGGCUACAAACCUUGUAAUCUAUCGCUUUGAUUCUUCUCUUUCACAAGAUUAGUUACAGAGCCAAUGGUCAACAAGUUUGCCAAGUAUCUUGAGGCCUUUUUAUCAUUGUUUUCAAUAUCAGUGAUUUGCAGAUACAAUGUUAUCAAGUGUGUUGGAUUAGCCUAUGAACUGAAGUACUUAUGUUGUAGAAGGAUGUCUGAUUUGCAUGUUGGAGAUCAAUGGAGGAAAUUCUCAUAACUAUGAAGGCUUAGAGGUCGAGGAUCUCUACUACAACGAAUAUAAUUGUCCCGUGAAAAUGAGGACGGUAUGGAGGAUAACACUGAAAAAGGUUGCUAGCCUUUCUGCCCCAAAGUAACAAAAUAUGAAUUUUUAGGAUAAUAAUUUUGGGGGUAAAAGAAUAACAGAUGCAAGGAACUUUGUCAAUGAGAUAAAAUCAUAUAUCAAAGGUUUUUUAUUUGUUUCUACUCAUGUUUUAGGUUGUAAGUGAAUGUAGAAACAAGUUUUAAUUUUUAUUUUUGCCAGUUCUGGAUAUGGACGAAAGGCAUCUGAUCUUACCACUA